GCCAUCGUGGUACAGCGGUCAGCACGCAGGGACUCGAACCAGAAGUCCGUGGUUCGAGUCCCGGCGAAGGCG
rnacentral:tRNA from 1 species